GGGCUCGUAGAUCAACGGUAGAUCGCAUGCAUGGCAUGCAUGAGGCUCCGGGUUCAAAUCCCGGCGAGUCCA
rnacentral:tRNA from 1 species